CCUACGGGGAGCAGCAGUGAGGAAUAUUGGUCAAUGGACGAGAGUCUGAACCAGCCAAGUAGCGUGAAGGAUGACUGCCCUAUGAGUUGUAAACUUCUUUUGUAUGGGAGUAAACCGUUCCACGUGUGGGAUUUUGUAUGUACCAUAUGAAUAAGGAUCGGCUAACUCCGUGCCAGCAGCCGCGGUAAUACGGAGGAUCCGAGCGUUAUCCGGAUUUAUUGGGUUUAAAGGGUGCGUAGGUGGAUUGUUAAGUCAGUUGUGAAAGUCUGCGGCUCAACCGUAAAAUUGCAGUUGAAACUGGCAGUCUUGAGUACAGUAGAGGUGGGCGGAAUGCGUGGUGUAGCGGUGAAAUGCUUAGAUAUCACGCAGAACUCCGAUUGCGAAGGCAGUUCACUGGACUGCAACUGACACUGAGGCACGAAAGUGUGGGUAGCAAACAGGAUUAGAUACCCGAGUAGUC
rnacentral:rRNA from 1 species